rnacentral:rRNA from 1 species
CAAUAGCGUAUAUUAAAGUUGUUGCGGUUAAAAAGCUCGUAGUUGGAUUUGUGGCGUACGGUGGGUUCCGGGCACUUGUUGUCUGAGUAACUUGCUGUUGCCAUCCUUGGGUGGAACCUGUGUGGCAUUAGGUUGUCGUGCAGGGGAUGCCCAUCAUUUACUGUGAAAAAAUUAGAGUGUUCAAAGCAGGCUUAUGCCGUUGAAUAUAUUAGCAUGGAAUAAUGAGAUAGGACUUUUUUGCUAUUUUGUUGGUUUGCGCAAAGAGGUAAUGAUUAAUAGGGACAGUUGGGGGUAUUCGUAUUCCAUUGUCAGAGGUGAAAUUCUUGGAUUUUUGGAAGACGAACUACUGCGAAAGCAUUUACCAAGGAUGUUUUCAUUAA